rnacentral:snoRNA from 1 species
UGGCACAUCCAAUUACAUGGAUACAAAUUUAUAUUGGUGUCCAAAAUAUGUAAUGAGACACAGGAUUUCUUUCCAUCUCUGUAAAUCUAUUGAGUGACAAUAAGAGCUGUAACAACU